AGCAGCAGCCGCGGGAAAACGAAGGGUGCAAGCGUUACUCGGAAUUACUGGGCGUAAAGCGUGUGUAGGUGGUUGUUUAAGUCUGUCGUGAAAGCCCUGGGCCCAACCUGGGAAUUGCGAUGGAUACUGGGCGACUAGAGUGCGGUAGAGGAUAGUGGAAUUUCCGGUGUAGCAGUGAAAUGCGUAGAGAUCGGAAGGAACAUCUGUGGCGAAGGCGACUAUCUGGGCCAACACUGACACUGAGACACGAAAGCGUGGGGAGCAAACAGGAUUAGAUACCCCUGUAGUCCCUGUCUCUUAUAA
rnacentral:rRNA from 1 species